rnacentral:rRNA from 1 species
AUCAGCCUUUUGGGUGUGAUUUUGUGGAGCGUGAAGAGUUAAACGCCUUCAUGCCUGCAUAUUCGUGCACUUUGGGUGUACUUGCCCGUAUGGUUGGUUAACAUCAAUUUUGGUGGUCAUAAAAUGACUGGAGGAAUGUAGCUUCGAUCUUGUAUUGAAGUGUUAUAGCCUUCGGUAGAUGUGAUGAUCGAGAUUGAGGAUUGCAACGGAUACCCUUCGGGGCUACCUGUCUGGUCUCUGAUCGUUGCUCUGGUGCCGAAAGCUUGCUUACGGUUAUCAAGGUCGAUGGUCAAUAGGUUAGAACAGGUUAAAUUUGUUAAGGAUGUUGACGUAAUGGCUUU